UUGAACGCUGGCGGCAGGCCUAACACAUGCAAGUCGAAUGGUAACAGGAAACAGCUUGCUGUUUCGCUGACGAGUGGCGGACGGGUGAGUAAUGUCUGGGAAACUGCCUGAUGGAGGGGGAUAACUACUGGAAACGGUAGCUAAUACUGCAUAACGUCGCAAGACCAAAGAGGGGGACCUUCGGGCCUCUUGCCAUCAGAUGUGCCCAGAUGGGAUUAGCUAGUAGGUGGGGUAACGGCUCACCUAGGCGACGAUCCCCAGCUGGUCUGAGAGGAUGACCAGCCACACUGGAACUGAGACACGGUCCAGACUCCUACGGGAGGCAGCAGUGGGGAAUAUUGCACAAUGGGCGCAAGCCUGAUGCAGCCAUGCCGCGUGUAUGAAGAAGGCCUUCGGGUUGUAAAGUACUUUCAGCGGGGAGGAAGGGAGUAAAGUUAAUACCUUUGCUCAUUGACGUUACCCGCAGAAGAAGCACCGGCUAACUCCGUG
rnacentral:rRNA from 1 species